AUGUCUCCUUGUUUAUGUCCUGAUUUAAUGUAUUCGACGAAUCCUGUGACUUCCCAGUUUGGUAUUGCUAGUUUGUUUAGUAUUUCUGUUCCUUUCAUGUCUGAUGGUUUUGGUCCUAGCUCGAAGUCUCCGUUUGGUAACAUGCCUGUGGAUAUUAUCAAAAUGUCCUUUACUAUCGCUAGCAGAGGCAGAGUUACCGUCACGGAAGGAGACGGUGGACUUGGCGGCCAUGGCGGUGGCGAUGAAAAGAAGGAAGAAAGACACGACGGUGACGCCUUCCAUAUUGACGGAAGAGAGAACGAGAUGAGUGCUGUGACUGGGGAAGCCAGAAGUGUCCAAUUGGGACAGGUAAUGGGCAGGAGUAUUUAA